rnacentral:rRNA from 1 species
GUGGGGAAUAUUGGGCAAUGGGGGAAACCCUGACCCAGCGACGCCGCGUGAGGGAAGACGGCCUUCGGGUUGUAAACCUCUUUUGUACGGGAAGAAGGAAGUGACGGUACUGUACGAAUAAGUCCCGGCUAACUACGUGCCAGCAUCCGCUGUAAUACGUAGGGGACGAGCGUUGUCCGGACUUACUGGGCGUAAAGGGCGCGCAGGCUGUGCUGCAAGUCAGCUGUGAAAUGUCUGGGCUUAACCCGGGCAUGCGGUUGAGACUGCAGUGCUGGAGUGCUGUAGAGGCAAGUGGAAUGCCCAGUGUAGCGGUGAAAUGCGUAGAUAUUGGGAAGAACACCGGUGGCGAAGGCGACUUGCUGGGCAGCAACUGACGCUGAGGCGCGAAAGCCAGGGGAGCAAACGGGAUUAGAUACCCGUGUAGUCC